CAGAACCGAGCAGACAGCUUCAGUUUGGCACAACAGGACUCUUACUCCAAGACUUUGGGAUACCUGGGAGUGCAGAAGACAUACAGCAGUUAAGAGAUGGAGUGUCUGAAGCCAGGGGAUAGUUAGCCACGGAAGCCAAUCCACAGUUCUUCACUCUCCAUCAAAUUUGAUGAGGAGAUAGACCACUUCCACAUUGGAUGAAGAUUCAGCAGAUGGAAAGUGUUGGUGGAACUGUCACAGUUUCCCUGCAGAUAUACCCACAGUGGCCUGACCUUCACUGAUGUCCAGCAUAAAGCCAUGAACAAUCUUCAGAUGAAAUAAUUGAAGUGCCAGUAAUAUUGCAGCUGUGACACCAUGGAGCCAACUCUCUACUUCACCCCUCCUCUGUUAAAUAAUUCUGAUGACUAAAAAAGGAAAGAAAAUAUUUCCUGCUUCACGCACUCAAGAAACAGAUGUUGCCAUUGAUGAGCUUAACAAAAUUGCAGCAACCAAAGCCUCUGAGUCAUCUGGUUCAUCCCUUUAGCUCAGAAUUAGUUAUAAGAAUGCCUUCAUUAGCUCUUUUGCAGUAUAGCAAAUAUAGCCUCCUGUAAAAGGGAGCAGGUGGAAUGAAAAAAAAGUAUCUGUCCAUUAGCACAAAAAAGUAGAAGUCUGCAAGGCAAGGUCAUGGUUUUCUGUAAAGCUUGAGAGAUGUCUUUCAUAAUGUAAAUGCUACUGAAACUAUCUUGACUG